GCUGCCCUCACAACGGCUGGAACUCGCACAACUGUGGCCACGGAGAAGAUGCUGGUGUCGUCUGCUCAGGAGUACAAAGCACUACUACCACCCCAGAUUGGUGGCACUCAUCACCCGCAA